AGUGAACGCUGGCGGUAGGCCUAACACAUGCCAGUCGAACGGCAGCACAGUAAGAGCUUGCUCUUACGGGUGGCGAGUGACGGACGGGUGAGGAAUACAUCGGAAUCUACUUUUUCGUGGGGGAUAACGUAGGGAAACUUACGCUAAUACCGCAUACGACCUACGGGUGAAAGCAGCGGAUCUUCGUACCUUGCACGAUUGAAUGAGCCGAUGUCGGAUUAGCUAGUUGGCGGGGUAAAGGCCCACCAAGGCGACGAUCCGUAGCUGGACUGAGAGGAUGAUCAGCCCCACUGGAAGUGAGACACGGGCCAGACUCCUACGGUAGGCAGCAGUGGGGAAUAUUGGACAAUGGGCGCAAGCCUGAUCCAACCAUACCGCGUGGGUGAAGAAGGCCUUCCGGUUGUAAAGCCCUUUUGUUGGGAAAGAAAAGCAGCAGGUUAAUACCCCGCUGUUCUGACGGUACCCAAAGAAUAAGCACCGGCUAACUUCGUG
rnacentral:rRNA from 1 species